GCAGGCACAGUAGGAUACAUGGACCCAGAGUACUACAGGCUGCAACAGCUGACCACAAAGAGCGACGUGUACAGCUUCGGAAUAGUGUUGCUAGAGCUAUUAUCAGGAAUCAAAGCAAUACACAAGAACGAGAAUGGAACGCCAAGAAAUGUGGUGGAUUUUGUAGUACCAUUCAUUGUACAUGAUGAAAUACACAGAGCCUUGGACUCGAGAGUUCCACCGCCAACGCCGUUUGAAAUAGAGGCUGUGGCGUAUGUAGGAUAUUUGGCGGCAGAUUGCGUGACGCUAGAUGGCCGAGAUCGGCCGCCGAUGACCGAAAUUGUAAAUAGCUUGGAAAGAGCAUUGGCUGCGUGUUUGGUGCACCCCACCUCGCUUUCGCGGUCCACGACCGGGUCCUCCACAUAGCCCCAAGUGGGAGAAAGCACCAGCGCACACGUGCCAGGAACUAGUCUAAUUUUUUUGUAUAAACCUUUUUUUUUUUUAAAAUUUCCC
rnacentral:misc_RNA from 1 species